UCAAGCUAUAAAGAGCAUAGGGUGGAUGCCUUGGCACCAAGAGCCGAAGAAGGACGUGGUCAGCUGCGAUAAGCCAUGGUCAGCCGCAAGCAGGCAAUGACCCAUGGAUUUCCGAAUGCGGAAACGCGGCACGUUAACAGCGUGUCAUCAUGUCAUGAAUAAAUAGUGACAUGAGGGGAACCCGGUGAACUGAAACAUCUAAGUAGCCGGAGGAAGAGAAAGAAACAUCGAUUUCCUUAGUAGCGGCGAGCGAAAGGGAAAGAGCCCAAACCGAGGGUCUACGGACGUUCGGGGUUCGGACUUGCAAAAAUCGAAGUACUUAUAGACGAAGAGGUUUGGAAUUUCCUACCAAAGAGGGUAACAGUCCCGUAGUCGAAAUGAGUACAAGAGGGCGAGAAUCCAGAGUACCACAGGACACGAGUAAUCCGGUGGGAAGACGGGGGGCCCACCCCCCAAGGCUAAAUACUACUUGGUGACCGAUAGCGUAUAGUACCGUGAGGGAAAGGUGAAAAGAACCCCGGGAGGGGAGUGAAAGAGUACCUGAAACCCUAUGUUUACAAGCAGUGGGAGCGAGAGCGACCAUGUACUUUUUGUAGAACGGGCCGGCGAGUUACUGUGUGCAGCGAGGUUAAGUUGUUAAGCAACGGAGCCGAAGGGAUACCGAGUCUGAAAAGGGCGUAAAGUUGCAUGCAGUACACCCGAAACCGGGUGACCUAUCCAUGGACAGGAUGAAGCGACGGUAAGACGUCGUGGAGGUCCGAACCACACGUACGUGAAAAGUGCGGGGAUGAGCUGUGGAUAGCGGAGAAAUUCCAAUCGAACUCGGAGAUAGCUGGUUCUCCCCGAAAUAGCUUUAGGGCUAGCCUCGAUUUAGAUUACCGGGGGUAGAGCACUGAAUGGGCUAGGGGGCCACAAAGCUUACCGAACCCUAUCAAACUUCGAAUACCGGAUAAUUGAUGAUCGGGAGUCAGACAGUGUGAGAUAAGUUUCAUUGUCGAAAGGGAAACAGCCCAGAUCUACGACUAAGGUCCCAAAGUUCAAGUUAAGUGGAAAAGGAUGUGCAAUUGCGUAGACAACCAGGAUGUUGGCUUAGUAGCAGCCAUUCAUUCAAAGAGUGCGUAAUAGCUCACUGGUCGAGUGAUUGUGCGCCGAAAAUGUAACGGGGCUAAACUUGACACCGAAGUCUAGGCAGAAGGAAACUUCUGGGUAGGGGAGCAACGUGUACGGGCAGAAGCAGAAGCGGAAGCGACUGUGGACUGUACAGGAGAGAGAAUGCCGGCAUGAGUAGCGAGAGCAAAGUGAGAAUCUUUGCCGUCGAAAGCCUAAGGUUUCCUGAGGAAGGCUCGUCCUCUCAGGGUAAGUCGGGACCUAAGCCGAGGACAAUAGUCGUAGGCGAUGGACAAUCGGUUAAUAUUCCGAUACCGCCGAGCAACCGGAUGCAGUGACACAGAAGGAUAGGCAGAGCGUGGCGAUGGUAGACCACGUCCAAGCAGUGAGGCUGUUGUGUAGUGAAGUACGCACAACGUAAGGCUGGGCUGUGAUGGGGAACGAUUACGAUCGGUAAGCUGCUGAAUUCACGCUGGCGAGAAAAGCUGCUACGAAGCGAAGGCGCCCGUACCGCAAACCGACACAGGUAGGCGAGGAGAGAAUCCUAAGACGAGCGGGAGAACCCUUGUUAAGGAACUCGGCAAAAUGACUCCGUAACUUAGGGAGAAGGAGUGCCCAGGAAUGGGCCGCAGAGAAUAGACCCAAGCGACUGUUUACCAAAAACACAGGUCUGUGCGAAGUAGAGAUACGACGUAUACGGGCUGACACCUGCCCAGUGCCGGAAGGUUAAGGGGAAAUGUUAGGGCAACCGAAGCAUGGAACUUAAGCCCCGGUGAACGGCGGCCGUAACUAUAACGGUCCUAAGGUAGCGAAAUUCCUUGUCGGGUAAGUUCCGACCCGCACGAAUGGUGUAACGAUUUGGGUACUGUCUCAACAAGGGACCCGGCGAAAUUGUAGUAUGUGUGAAGAUGCACAUUACCCGCGAUAGGACGGAAAGACCCCGUAGAGCUUUACUGUAGUUUAACAUUGGAUUCCGGUAACAUAUGCACAGGAUAGGUGGGAGGCGGAGAAGCAGUGAUUUCGGUUGCUGCAGAGCCGACGUUGGGAUACCACUCUUGUGUUACUGGGGUUCUAACCUGUGGCCGUGAUCCGGCACAGGAACAGUGUUAGAUGGGCAGUUUGACUGGGGCGGUCGCCUCCAAAAGAGUA
rnacentral:rRNA from 1 species